rnacentral:rRNA from 1 species
AUGAACCCUGAUAGGAAAACAACACUUGAAUUGUCAGUGCGUGCUUAUGCAGAGACGAGGCAUGGGCCUGUUGUCAAUCCAGAAACCGGGACCGCUUUUGACUCGUUGGACGAAGCUUAUGAGUUCUACAAUCUAUAUUCGUGGGAAUGUGGUUUCGUUGUCAGGCUUGCAAAAAGCAGAAUGAAUGUUCGUCGGAAGAGAUGCAUGCAAGAAAUACUGUGCGCUUGUGCGGACAAACCAAUGAGGAAGAACAGUCGGUCUUCAAGGUGUGGGUGUGAAGCCAUGAUCAGACUGCUCCGUCCAAACUUCACUUGA